UACGUAGGGGGCAAGCGUUGUCCGGAUUUAUUGGGCGUAAAGAGCGUGUAGGCGGCCAGACAGGUCCGUUGUGAAAACUCGAGGCUCAACCUCGAGAUGCCGAUGGAAACCGUCUGGCUAGAGUCCGGAAGAGGAGUGUGGAAUUCCUGGUGUAGCGGUGAAAUGCGCAGAUAUCAGGAAGAACACCUAUGGCGAAGGCAGCACUCUGGGACGGUACUGACGCUGAGGCGCGAAAGCCAGGGGAGCGAACGGG
rnacentral:rRNA from 1 species